AUAGAUAAUAGUAUUUGAAAUAUAUUUACAGGAAUUAAAAGAGGAUUGAACUCUUUUUCUGCUGAAAAUGUUGACGUCGCUUCACCUCUUGGAGUGAAAAGGGGAGUGAAUUCUUUUUCGGCUGUAAAUGUGGAUGCUGCGUCAUCAGCUGGAAUUAAAAGAGGAUUGAACUCUUUUUCUGCUGAAAAUGUUGACGUCGCUUCACCUCUUGGAGUGAAAAGGGGAGUGAAUUCUUUUUCGGCUGUAAAUGUGGAUGCUGCGUCAUCAGCUGGAAUUAAAAGAGGAUUGAACUCUUUUUCUGCUGAAAAUGUUGACGUCGCUUCACCUCUUGGAGUGAAAAGGGGAGUGAAUUCUUUUUCGGCUGUAAAUGUGGAUGCUGCGUCAUCAGC